GACGAACGCUGGCGGCGUGCUUAACACAUGCAAGUCGAACGAUGAAGGAGAGCUUGCUCUCCGGAUUAGUGGCGAACGGGUGAGUAACACGUGACUAACCUGCCCCUUUCUCUGGGAUAACGCUCCGAAAGGAGUGCUAAUACCGGCUACGAACUCUGAACACAUGUUCGGGGUUGGAAAGUUUUUCGGAAAGGGAUGGGGUCGCGGCCUAUCAGCUUGUUGGUGAGGUAACGGCUCACCAAGGCGACGACGGGUAGCCGGCCUGAGAGGGCGACCGGCCACACUGGGACUGAGACACGGCCCAGACUCCUACGGGAGGCAGCAGUGGGGAAUAUUGCACAAUGGGCGAAAGCCUGAUGCAGCGACGCCGCGUGAGGGAUGAAGGUCUUCGGAUUGUAAACCUCUUUCAGUAGGGACGAAGCGAAAGUGACGGUACCUAAAGAAGAAGCACCGGCUAACUACGUGCCAGCCGCCGCCGUAA
rnacentral:rRNA from 1 species